CUCAGAGGCCACUCCGCCUUGCUCAAAAGGCCAGAAGAAGGGCAGACGGAAGGAAAGAAGGAAAAAAAGAAGCAAAGAAGGAUGGAUGGACAUGCAGAAGAAUGUGGCUGCUGCUUUAAAUGUACCAGUGUUAAGCUCCAAACACAGUAGCCAAGAGCUCAUGUUAAAUGGUUCCAAUGUCCUCUUCCUCAAAACCUUGCUCUCAGAUGGGAACCAGCUCAUUCAUACAAGGCCACCUCAGGCCCAUUAUACUUCAGUAUUUCUUCGAGUUUGAUCCAGGGACCACCUGCAGCUGAAACACGAACCUAGACAAAGCCGUGUGUCAUUUAGAAAUUGGAUUCCUCAUGGAACACAAAUCAGUCUAUUGUGGCUUAACCUGGUUAUUUUCCUCAUUCACUGAUACAGCUGAAGGCAAAAAGAGGAAAAGGGAAGCAACAAGGAGGAAAGGUGCCACUUCUAUCAGGAAAAUCAAAGUUUCCCCAAAUUCCCGGAAAUCUGCUUCUCACUGAUCCCAAACAGAGAUGUCAGCAUACAUUCAGGAUUUAUAAUGUGUGAUCGAUCAACGACAGAAAUCAAGGUGAUAUUGAAAAUCAUCAAAUACUGAAUUAAAAUGUGUGAAAAUUCAAGCAGAAGAUCAUCUGGAAAUCUACUUUUCUGAAAUUUUUAGCAGGAAACGAUGAAGGGAGAGAUGAGAGAAAAGAAUAAAGAGUGCAAGGAAAUAAAGAUAUUUAUUGGCCAUUUCUUAGUAGGUAACCAUCAUCUUCACACGUAUUUUCCAGCCUUUAUAUUACCACUCCUCCAGUGGAUGAGUAAACCAAAGUUCAGAAAGGUUAAAUGAACUCCUAAAGGAUGAAAGCCCGUGUUUCCCACUUCACCAGUCCACCUGAUAAGAAAGGCUUUAAAAUGAAAAUCCCAUUUUGUGUACUGUCUAAGUAAAA